GAUGAACGCUGGCGGCGUGCCUAAUACAUGCAAGUCGAGCGAACAGACGAGGAGCUUGCUCCUCUGACGUUAUCGGCGGACGGGUGGGUAACACGUGGAUAACCUACCUAUAAGACUGGGAUAACUUCGGGAAACCGGAGCUAAUACCGGAUAAUAUAUUGAACCGCAUGGUUCAAUAGUGAAAGACGGUCUUGCUGUCACUUAUAGAUGGAUCCGCGCCGCAUUAGAUAGUGGGUGAGGUAACGGCUUACCAAGGCAGCGAUGCAUAGCCGACCUGAGAGGGAGGACGGCCAGACUGGAAGUGAGGAACAGUCCAGACUCCUACGGGGGGCAGCAGUCGAGAAUCUUCCGCGAUGGGCGAAAGGCUAACGGUGGAACGCCGCGUAAAUGAUGAACGACUUCGGCUGGUUAAGCUCUGUUAUUAGGGAAGAACAAAAGUGCAAGUAACUGUGAACGUAUUGACGGUACCGAAAGAAAAAGCAACGGCUAACUACGUG
rnacentral:rRNA from 1 species